rnacentral:pre_miRNA from 1 species
CUUGCGGGGGAGGGGUCCCUCAGCCCGGAUUGCGAGAGGGCGCAGGCCAGGCUGAGGGACCCCAUCGGUGCAGA